CUAGUACUCCCUCCGUUCGGAAUUACUUGUCUCAAAAAUGGAUGUAUCUAGAACUAAAAUACGUCUAGAUACAUCCAUUUUUGCGACAAGUAAUUCCGAACGGAGGGAGUACAAA
rnacentral:pre_miRNA from 1 species